rnacentral:tRNA from 1 species
GCCUUCGUGGUGUAGUGGUCAGUUACACUCGAUGCGUAACCGAGAAAUCCAUGGUUCGAUUCCCUGCGAGGGCA